ACGGAAGGCAGCAGUGGGGAAUAUUGCACAAUGGGCGCAAGCCUGAUGCAGCGAUGCCGCGUGAGGGAAGAAGGUUUUCGGAUUGUAAACCUCUGUCAACAGGGACGAUAAUGACUGUACCUGUGAAGGAAGCUCCGGCUAACUACGUGCCAGCAGCCGCGGUAAUACGUAGGGAGAACGCGUUAUCCGGAAUUACUGGGUGUAAAGGGAGUGUAGGCGGGACUGUAAGUCAGAUGUGAAAUAUGCCGGCUCAACUGGCAGACUGCAUUUGAAACUGCGUUUCUUGAUUGAAGUAGAGGUAAGCGGAAUUCCUAGUGUAGCGGUGAAAUGCGUAGAUAUUAGGAGGAACAUCAGUGGCUAAGGCGGCUUACUGGGCUUUAACUGACGCUGAGGCUCGAAAGCGUGGGGAGCAAACAGGAUUAGAUACCCUGGUA
rnacentral:rRNA from 1 species